AAUGCUGUAUUUUUCUUCCAGAUGAAAGUGAAAGCUCUGAUGAUGAUCAGCCACUGAUCAAGAUGGUUAAAAAACCACCAACUGAAGAACAGUUAAAGGAGGCAAUCAAGGAUCUCUUGAAAGAUGCCAAAUUGGAGGAAGUUACGAUGAAGCAGAUUACCCGAAAAGUUUAUGGCAAGUAUCCUGACUUUGAUCUGACCAGCAGAAAGGAAUUCAUCCGGGAGACAGUUAAAGGUUUGAUAUCCUGAAGUGAAGAAAAUGCCUUAUUUAAAAGGACAGCGAGGAUGAAGAUUGUGUAGAAAACUCGAUUUUCAUUACACUGUUCAUUAUUGUGUAGUUUUUAUUUUUAUUUUAUAUAAGGUUUCUCAACUUUCCAGCAAAUUCUGCUUUUUUGUAUUUUAAAAAAAGUAUUUUUUAAAGUUUACAUUUUCACGUUUGACAAUGAAUGAUGUGGGUGGUUUUGGUUGUUGAAACAUGCCACAUUUUUAAAGUGACCCUUUUCGUCCUUAUUUUUAAUGGCACAUAGCCAUACAUAGUCACUAUAUUGCAUUUUGACAGUCACAUUUGAAUGUCUUGGCUGUGUCAGUAAGUCCACAAGUUGCCAUGGCCUGCAGCUGCAUUACCGUUGGCAUGUUGCCAUGAUACUGUAUGCAAUACUUAGGAAGAUUUCAUUGUUCGGUUGGUCUCACCUGUUAUUAGUGCUGAGUUUCAUUUCUUAGGUCCUAAAUGCUGAAUGCAAAAAAGAAACUUUAGAAAUUAAUUGUUUGGUUUGUUAUUGUAUUUCAACAUAAAAUAUUUGGCAGUGUCAGCUUCCAUUUCAGUGUUGUGCUUAAAGGAAUUCUAAUUUGUAAAGAGCAAAAAA